rnacentral:rRNA from 1 species
UACGAAGGGGGGCUAGCGUUGCUCGGAAUUACUGGGCGUAAAGCGCACGUAGGCGGCUUCUUAAGUCGGUGGUGAAAUCCUGGAGCUCAACUCCAGAACUGCCUUCGAUACUGGAGAGCUCGAGUCCGGGAGAGGUGAGUGGAACUGCGAGUGUAGAGGUGAAAUUCGUAGAUAUUCGCAAGAACACCAGUGGCGAAGGCGGCUCACUGGCCCGGUACUGACGCUGAGGUGCGAAAGCGUGGGGAGCAAACAGG